ACGGGUGAGUAACACGUAGGCAACCUGCCCUCAAGUUUGGGACAACUACCGGAAACGGUAGCUAAUACCGAAUAAUUGUUUUCUUCGCCUGAAGGAAACUGGAAAGACGGAGUAAUCUGUCACUUGGGGAUGGGCCUGCGGCGCAUUAGCUAGUUGGUGGGGUAAUGGCUCACCAAGGCGACGAUGCGUAGCCGACCUGAGAGGGUGAUCGGCCACACUGGGACUGAGACACGGCCCAGACUCCUACGGGAGGCAGCAGUAGGGAAUCUUCCGCAAUGGGCGAAAGCCUGACGGAGCAAUGCCGCGUGAGUGAUGAAGGUUUUCGGAUCGUAAAGCUCUGUUGCCAGGGAAGAACGCUUGGGAGAGUAACUGCUCUCAAGGUGACGGUACUUGAGAAGAAAGCCCCGGCUAACUACGUGCCAGCAGCCGCGGUAAUACGUAGGGGGCAAGCGUUGUCCGGAAUUAUUGGGCGUAAAGCGCGCGCAGGCGGUCAUUUAAGUCUGGUGUUUAAUCCCGGGGCUCAACCCCGGAUCGCACUGGAAACUGGGUGACUUGAGUGCAGAAGAGGAGAGUGGAAUUC
rnacentral:rRNA from 1 species